AUGGCGGAUAUCCAGUUAGGAUGUUACACUAUAAAGUCCCAUGGAGCCAAAGUGGCAAGACUCCACAUGUAUGACUGGAUAAUACUUCUCCUCCUUGCUGUCAUAGAUGGACUGUUGAAUAUAAUUGAGCCUUUUCACCGCUUCAUUGGGAAGGACAUGAUGACUGACUUGAGAUAUCCAUUAAAGGGCAAUACUGUGCCCUUUUGGGCUGUUCCGCUCAUUGGAAUUGUCUUGCCAUGUGUCAUCUUUGGUGGAAUUUACUUCAAGAAGAAGAAUAUCUAUGAUUUGCACCAUGGCAUACUGGGUAUUCUUUAUUCGGUGCUCAUAACUGCGGUGAUUACUGAUGCAAUUAAGGAUGGAGUUGGCCGACCACGUCCUGAUUUCUUCUGGCGCUGUUUCCCAGAUGGAAAGGAUCUUUAUGAUAAUGUCACUACUGGUGUUCUGUGCCAUGGAGAGAAGAGUGUCAUCAAAGAAGGUCACAAAAGCUUCCCAAGUGGACACUCAUCAUGGUCUUUUGCCGGCCUAGGCUUCCUUACGUGGUACUUGACUGGGAAAAUCGCAGUUUUUGACCGUAAAGGUCAUAUUGCAAAGCUUUGUAUUAUUGUUCUGCCUCUACUUACUGCUGCACUUGUUGCUGUUUCUCGAGUGGAUGACUACUGGCAUCACUGGCAAGAUGUGGUUGCAGGAGCUGUUUUAGGUCUCACAGUGGCUUCAUUUUGCUACCUGCAAUUUUUCCCAUACCCUUAUGAUGCAGAUGGACUGUGGCCUCACGCAUACACCCUCCAGCUAGCCGAGGCGCGCAACAGCGGCAUUGCAAACUCCUUCAGUGUGCGACCACCCACGGAGACUGAAGAAGGGGAAGGUCAGGGCGGGAUCGCCCUAAGAGACACGAGUCCUAUUCUCGACACCAUGGAGUCUGGCAGGAGAUACGGAAACUAG
rnacentral:rRNA from 1 species